AUACCUUUCUAGGCCUUUUGGCUAAGAUCCUAUCUGUUGUUAUCAGUUUAAUAUCUGAUAUGUGGGUCAAUUGAUCCACGUGAUAUUAACUCAAUUUUUUAAGGGUAAGUGCUUGUGUGGUAGCUUGCUACCUGAGCUUUUAAGCGCUGCCCGAGUAUCGCACUAAAGCUUGGGCUGGUGUGCCCCAC